UAGUCCACGCCGUAAACGAUGAGUGCUUGCUGUCGGGUUUAUACUCGGUGGCGAAGCUAACGCGUUAAGCACUCCGCCUGGGGAGUACGAUCGCAAGAUUAAAACUCAAAGGAAUUGACGGGGCCCGCACAAGCGGUGGAGCAUGUGGUUUAAUUCGAUGCAACGCGAAAAACCUUACCAACCCUUGACAUCCCGAGUGGGGGCUAAGAGAUUAGCCCUUUCAGUUCGGCUGGCUCGGUGACAGGUGCUGCAUGGCUGUCGUCAGCUCGUGUCGUGAGAUGUUGGGUUAAGUCCCGCAACGAGCGCAACCCCCACUUUCAGUUGCCAGCGAUACGGUCGGAACUCUGGAGGAACUGCCGGUGAUAAACCGGAGGAAGGCGGGGAUGACGUCAAGUCCUCAUGGCCCUUAUGGGGUUGGGGCAACACACGUGCUACAAUGGGCGGCUACAAUGGGGCA
rnacentral:rRNA from 1 species